rnacentral:rRNA from 1 species
CUCUGUGACUCCUACGGGAGCAGCAGUGGGAAUAUUGCACAAUGGGCGCAAGCCUGAUGCAGCAACGCCGCGUGAGCGAUGAAGGCCUUCGGGUCGUAAAGCUCUGUCCUCAAGGAAGAAUAAAUGACGGUACUUGAGGAGGAAGCCCCCGGCUAACUACGUGCCAGCAGCCGCGGUAAUACGUAGGGGCAAGCGUUAUCCGGAAUCACUGGGCGUAAAGGGUGCGUAGGCGGUUUUCAAGUCAGAAGUGAAAGGCUAUGGCUCAACCAUAGUAAGCUUUUGAAACUGUUAAACUUGAGUGCAGGAGAGGAAAGUGGAAUUCCUAGUGUAGAGGUGAAAUUCGUAGAUAUUAGGAGGAACACCAGUGGCGAAGGCGACUUUCUGGACUGUAACUGACGCUGAGGCACGAAAGCGUGGGGAGCGAACAGGAUUAGAUACCCUUGUAG